rnacentral:lncRNA from 1 species
UUUUUUUUUUUUGCGGGGUUAGCAGUGGUAUCUUUGACUAAAACCACUCGUGACAAUGACAUAAUAAUGUCCCGCUCCCCGACCAGCGUCCUCACCGCCGACCUCUGCAACGGCGAGGUCGCGUCGCUCCGUCGCCGCCGUUCCCUUCUGCCCCGCCGGCGCCGGGGGUGGACCCGGAUGCAUUCCCCCAAGGACAUCGUCGCCAAGAACACGCUCUGACGAGAUCGAGGUGAGUGGGAACUGGGAAGGCCCCCUCCCAUGGUGAACCCCAACUCCAUGGUGCUCCAGGCCCUCGCGGCGGCGAAUCGAGGAGGAGGCCGAGAAGAAUGAAGAGGAAGGCAGGGCCGCCGCGGCUUCACCACCAAUGCUUCUUCUUCUUCUUGGUCGUCGUCGUCGUCGUCUUGUAUGUAUACAGAUACAGCUAUACACAUAAUUUUAGGAUCAAAAGACGUACAGCUAUAUGUAUUUCUGGGGGCUAAUUUCAGUGCAGAGUGAAUUAAUGCGUUGUUGCUAAUUGGAUUGCUAGAAUAUGUGUAGCAGAGUGAAAGCUAGUGUGAAUUGAGACCAUUGAACAAAUGGUUUAGAGAUAAUAACUUAGCUGCUUUCUUUGAAUUGCCACAUGUUCAGUUCAAUCACCUAAUUUUAUCUGAAAAGAAAUGUUCGAUCACCCUUGUCUGGAUGAAUAGUUACUCUUGUCUUUACUUUCUAGUGAUAUUCUAUAUUGCUACGAAAGCACUGGUUGUCCUUCAUUAUGUUUGUAAGAUUGAAUUCGAUAACAUUUUUUGUCGUCUAUUGCUUCUUUAGACAAAGAGGGUAUGUAUGUCAGUCAGUCAAACAGGUUUUCCAUGGUUGUAAAUCCUCUCUUACAAAGUUAUAGCCACUAAUUCCUUCCCAGAAAUUGAAACUAUGAUCAUGGCAUAAGCAGUGUAGGGUGAUCUUAACAUAACCAGUAGCAUACUAUGCGCAUCAUGAAUGUCAGAAACAGGAACAUACCAGUAAUGCGAUAACAUGCUAGAGGCAUCAUGUAGAACAGGAACAAGAACAUAGCGCACACAGUAUAGCGCUAACAAUGGGAACAGGAGUAGCGCUAACAGCAGUAGAAGGAGAAGAUUAUACCCCGAGAAUGGCCCUCCGCUGGAUGGUGAGGCAGAAUUGCCUCCGUUGUUGUAGUCGUUCAUGGCACCUCCUCCUGGCGCACCAGCUCUGGAUCCAGCUCCUGUCGGCGGCGCAGCUCCUGUCGGCGGCGGCGCACCACCUCCGCCAAUAGCGGCGGCAGCAACUCCAGACAUGGCGAUGAGCAGUCGUGCAGGAGGCACUCCCCAAAAACCUGAUCACCCGCCUACCCGAUGCAGAUCUCAGGCGAAGGUGUGGUUUCGGAGGCACUACUUCUUCCAAUCUCUCGUGCGCGCAAGAGAUCAGAAGCGGGGAAGCGAGAGCAACUCAGGCGCGGAGAAGGAGAAACUAACACCGGGAAAGAAGCGAGGAACUCGGAUCGGACUCGCGGCCUCCUUAUCUAUCAGGAGAAAGAACGUGGACGCGCUGUUGCGGAGGGAAUCGUGGGAACGUGGGUUAGUGGCUGCAAAAGGAUAGCGACGUGACGUGACGCACGCACGCCGGCCAGCCUCGCCCACGGCCACGGCCACGGCCACGCCCGGCCCGGCGCGCGCGCGCGCGCGCGUGUGGCAUUCCGACCCCCACCUCAACUGGUCAACAGGGAGCCUCUAAUAACUCCCUAUUUAGGUUGAGAUAUUUCUCGCUUAAAUCCAGAGGUGGUAUUAUUAUCCUCAACAUUUAUUAUGGGCCUUUGAGAUUUAAUAUUAUAAGUUGGGCCUAGCCCAAUUAUUCUAACAAUCCCCACCAAAUUUCAAGGCUCAUAAGAAAUGUUCUCAAGGCUGUGCCUGUUUGAUAUACCAGGGUUUUGGUGGAGACUGUUAAGUUAAACUUCCACCUAGGAAAUGAGCUACAUCAGACCACAACUGAACAAUGGACUAUGCCUUGAAUUGUCAGUUUUGUGUGAUCAGGUUUCACUCAGACCCUUGACUGGUACUGGGCUGCCGUUCGCAUCCCCUCUGUUUGGAGCAUAUAAGUCAAACUCCAGGCCUUUCAUGAGUAUCUAGAGAUUGCCCAAACCUCAUAGACUGUGACUAGCAGUCGAACUCAUAUAGGUGUGUUCCUUCUGAGAUGUUCUGCAGGUCAACAUCUCUGCUUGGAAAAACCACUCGGAUCACAUUAAGACAUAAGCCAUCCUACCAUGCAGGAAAGAAGAGAAGCACAUCAUGAAAAUGAGCCCCUUUCAAGGGUCUUUUCUCUCAGUCACACAAUAAUUUGUUUCACCAUCCAAAUUCACGGGAUCUCCGAUCACAAUGGACAGGUUUCCACUAUUAUGCAACCUUAGGUGGGUAUCAAGCCCAUUUCCCUCGAUGCACUGUCUAUCACAUUACGUGGUAGCCCCUUGGUAAACUGAUCUGCCAGAUUUCUAGCCGUUUGGACAUAGUCCAAUGCUAUCACUCCGGAGUUUUUCUGCUUUCUGACAGAUUUCAGUCUUCUCUUGAUGUGUCUAGAUGACUUCAUGUUGUCCUUUGAACUGUUCACUUUAAUAAUCACUGUUUGAUUAUCGCAGUUCAUUAGGAUAGCUGGCACUGGUUUUUCAACCACCGGCAAAUCCAUCAGGAGUUCACGAAGCCACUCAGCCUCAACUGUCGCAGUAUCUAGUGCUGUAAGUUCUGCUUCCAUUGUUGACCUCGUUAAGAUGGUCUGCUUGCAAGACUUCCAGGAAACAGCGCCACCUCCAAGUGUGAACGCAUAUCCACUUGUGGCUUUUAUCUCAUCAGCAUCAGAUAUCCAGUUUGAGUCACUAUACCCUUCUAGUACUUUUGGAUACCCGGUAUAGUGAAUUCCAUAGCUCAUAGUGCCCUUUAGAUAGCGCAUUACUCUUUCCAGAGCCUGCCAAUGAUCAUCUCCCGGAUUUGAGACAAACCGGCUCAGCUUGCUUACAGCAAAUGAGAUGCCAGGCCUCGUUGCGCUAGCCAAGUACAUCAAUGAACCAAUGAUUUGAGAGUAUCUCAGUUGAUCCCUUCCUAUUCUUCGGUUUUUCCUUAAUAGCACGCUGGGAUCAUAAGGAGUAGGAGCUGGCUUACAGUCACUAUAUCCAAAGCGACUCAAAACCUUGUCCACAUAGUGGGAUUGCACAAGUGUAAUCCCAUCCUCAUCUCCUCUUUGUAGUUUGAUGUUAAGAAUAACAUCAGCCUCUCCCAAAUCCUUCAUUUCAAAACUCUUGGACAGAUAGUCUUUGACCUCCUCAAUCACAUUAAGGCUGGUCCCAAAGAUCAGUAUGUCAUCGACAUACAAGCAUAAGAUCACCCCUUCUCCCCCACCAUAGCGAUAGUAUACACAUUUGUCAGCUUCGUUCACAACAAAGCCUGCAGAUGUAAGCGUGGUGUCAAACUUCUCAUGCCAUUGCUUAGGUGCUUGCUUGAGGCCAUACAAGGAUUUCAAUAGUUUACACACCAUUCCCUCCUGACCUUCUAGUACAUACCCGUCUGGUUGAUCCAUAUAGAUCUCCUCCUCCAGCUCUCCGUUUAGGAAAGCUGUCUUAACGUCCAUCUGAUGGACGAGAAGACCAUGAGAGGCUGCCAGAGCAAGUAGUACUCGAAUCGUAGUCAAGCGAGCAACUGGUGAAUAUGUGUCGAAUAAAUCCUCGCCUUCCUUUUGGGUAUAACCCUUGGCCACAAGCCUUGCCUUAUACUUUUCGAUUGUACCAUCAGGCCUAAGCUUUUUCUUGAAAACCCAUUUGCAUCCUACGGGCUUACAUCCAUAUGGACGCUCAACGACUUCCCAAGUACCAUUAGACAUAAUCGAGUCCAUUUCACUGCGUACUGCUUCCUUCCAGUAGUCAGCGUCAGGAGAUGAAUAUGCCUCUUCUAUGGUUCUUGGGGUGUCAUCCACGAGGUAUACAAUGUAGUCAUCUCCAAAGGAUUUUGCAACCCUUUGUCUCUUACUCUUGCGAGUAUCUACAAUGUUGUCCUCCUCAGGAUUUUCCUCAGGCGUUUGAUCAUUGUGUUCUAUCGGUGCAAAGUGCUCAUGGGGCAUGACAGUUUCUUUACUAGAAGUGUUAGGUGUAUAUUUCAUAGGAAAUUCAUUCUCAAAGAAAGUAGCAUCUCUGGACUCAAAAAUUGUACCAGCAUGCAUGUCGGGUACUCCAGAGUUUACUAUUAAGAAUCUAUAACCCACACUGUGGAUAGCAUAACCAAGAAACACACAAUCAACAGUUUUUGGUCCAAGUUUCCGCUUUUUGACUAUAGGUACAUUUACCUUGGCCAAACAGCCCCAUGUUCGUAGGUAUGAGAGAUUUAAUUUCUUCCUUUCCCAUUCCUCGAAUGGUGUUACUUCCUUGUGCUUCAUUGGAAUUUUAUUCAGGACAUGACACGCAGUCAGAACUGCCUCACCCCACCAUUCCUUGGAAAGCCCCGCAGUGUCUAACAUGGCAUUCACCAUCUCAGUUAGAGUACGGUUCUUUCUUUCGGCCACCCCAUUUGAUUGGGGUGAAUAGGGAGGCGUCAUCUCAUGAAUAAUUCCAAACUCUUCGCAAAAGGAUGCAAACUCAUUGGAAAAAUACUCCCCACCUCUAUCAGACCUCAACCGUUUGAUUUUCCUUUCAAGUUGGUUUUCUACCUCAGCUUUAUAGAUUUUAAAGUAAUGCAAUGCCUCAUCCUUUGUUUUCAAUAGAUACACAUAGCAAAAUCUAGUGCAAUCAUCUAUCAGUGUCAUGAAAUAUUUCUUUCCCCCUUUAGUCAACACGCCGUUCAUUUCGCACAAAUCGGAAUGAACAAGUUCUAGAGGUGCCAAAUUCCUCGCCUCAGAUGCCUUGUGAGGCUUGCGAGGUUGUUUCGAUUGAACACAAGUAUGGCACUUGGAACCUUUGACCAAAGUGAAUUUUGGAAUUAAACUCAUGUUAGCUAAGCGCAUCAUACAACCGAAAUUCACAUGACAGAGUCGCGAAUGCCACACAUUAGACUCAUCAUUCUCGCUAAUAUGGUUCACAGCGUUAUGAUUAUUACACAUGUCAUUCAAAGAAAAGCGGAACAAGCCUCCGCUGUCAUAACCUUUUCCAACAAAAGUCCCAUAUUUAGAUACGACACAUUUAUUGGACUCAAACACAAGUCUAAAACCUUCUCUACACAAUAGAGAGCCGCUAACUAGAUUCUUCUUUAUUGAAGGGACAUGCUGCACGUUCUUCAGCUGCACGGUCUUUCCCGAAGUAAACUUCAGAUCGACCGUACCAACACCAUGAACAGCCGCAAGCGACCCGUUUCCCAUCAACAAGGAGGAACCUCUCCCGACCUGAUAAGAAGAAAACAGAGAAAUGUCAGCACAUACAUGAAUAUUAGCACCAGUAUCCACCCACCAAUCAGGUGAAUGAAAAACAGAGAGAACUGUAGGUAAUAUUUUACCGUACCCCGAUGUUCCUCCGCCCUCGCUAAUGAUCAUGUUGGCAGACUUCCUGUCUUUGCGCUCAGAACAGUCCUUGGCCCAAUGCCCAGACUUGCCACACACAAAGCAGUCUCCCUUUGCCUUUCUUCUUAAAAUUGGUUGCAGCCUUGGGUUUGACAUCAGGCUUGACUUUCUUGUUGUUGUGGGAUGCAUGAGGGUUCUUCUUCUGUACCAUAUUGGCACUAGAACCUCCCUCAACCUUUUUGCCCCGGACGUCCUUUGCCCUCGCCUUCUCCUCAACACCCAAAGAGCCAAUGAGAUCAGGAACACUGAACUCUUGUCUCUUGUGCUUUAGAGAAGUGGCAAAGUCCGACCAAGAAGGUGGUAGUUUGGCAAUAAUGCCACCCGCCACAAACUUGUCCGGCAACUCACAGUUGUUGUUCUCAAGUUUCUUAGCCAGCAUCUGAAUCUCAUGAGCUUGUUCUACUACAGAACGGUCAUCGACCAUCUUGUAGUCAUAGAACUGCUCCAUGACAUACAGCUCACUGCCGGCGUCAGAAACUCCGAACUUGGCCUCAAGUGCAUCCCACAUGUCCUUCCCAGAAGGCAUGUGCAUGUACACGUCCACUAUGUUGUCAGCGAGUACACUGAUCAAUGCUCCACGGAACAGGCAAUCCGAAGCCUCGAACUUAGCCUCUUCCUCAGGAGAAAGAGGUGGUUUACUUCGUUUACCCCGUGAAACAUAGAAGCACUGCAUCGCUGUCAACCACAAUAGUGCACGUGCUUUCCAUCUCUUAUAGUUUGAACCAUCAAAAGCAUGUGGUUUCAGUGCAGCAGCAAAGCCAACUACCGAAAAUGACCUAUCAGGUUUUUGGAUUGUUGGAAAUAUAGUCAUUAUUCGGCAUAUUUUAAUCCAAGAAAUUGAAACUAUGAUCAUGGCAUAAGCAGUGUAGGGUGAUCUUAACAUAACCAGUAGCAUACUAUGCGCAUCAUGAAUGUCAGAAAUAGGAACAUACCAGUAAUGCGAUAACAUGCUAGAGGCAUCAUGUAGAACAGGAACAAGAACAUAGCGCACACAGUAUAGCGCUAACAAUGGGAACAGGAGUAGCGCUAACAGCAGUAGAAGGAGAAGAUUAUACCCCGAGAAUGGCCCUCCGCUGGAUGGUGAGGCAGAAUUGCCUCCGUUGUUGUAGUCGUUCACGGCACCUCCUCCUGGCGCACCAGCUCCGGAUCCAGCUCCUGUCGGCGGCGCAGCUCCUGUCGGUGGCGGCGCAUCACCUCCGCCAAUAGCGGCGGCAGCAACUCCAGACAUGGCGAUGAGCAGUCGUGCAGGAGGCACUCCCCAAAAACCUGAUCACCCGCCUACCCGAUGCAGAUCUCAGGCGAAGGUGUGGUUUCGGAGGCACUGCUUCUUCCAAUCUCUCGUGCGCGCAAGAGAUCAGAAGCGGGGAAGCGAGAGCAACUCAGGCGCGGAGAAGGAGAAACUAACACCGGGAAAGAAGCGAGGAACUCGGAUUGGACUCGUGGCCUCCUUAUCUAUCAGGAGAAAGAACGUGGACGCGCUGUUGCGGAGGGAAUCGUGGGAACGUGGGUUAGUGGCUGCAAAAGGAUAGCGACGUGACGUGACGUGACGCACGCACGCACGCACGCCGGCCGGCCUCGCCCUCGCCCCGGCCCGGCGCGCGCGCGCGCGCGUGUGGCAUUCCGACCCCCACCUUAACUGGUCAACAGGGAGCCUCUAAUAACUCCCUAUUUAGGUUGAGAUAUUUCUCGCUUAAAUCCAGAGGUGGUAUUAUUAUCCUCAACAUUUAUUAUGGGCCUUUGAGAUUUAAUAUUAUAAGUUGGGCCUAGCCCAAUUAUUCUAACAUGUCAGUCAGUCAAACAGGUUUUCCAUGGUUGUAAAUCCUCUCUUACAAAGUUAUAGCCACUAAUUCCUAAAGCUUAACAUGCAAAGAUGCCACAUCAUCACCCACUAACAAUUAUUACAUUUAAGCAUAAUGCAGGCA